UGAGGAAUAUUGGUCAAUGGGCGAGAGCCUGAACCAGCCAAGUAGCGUGAAGGAUGACUGCCCUAUGGGUUGUAAACUUCUUUUAUAAAGGAAUAAAGUCGGGUAUGGAUACCCGUUUGCAUGUACUUUAUGAAUAAGGAUCGGCUAACUCCGUGCCAGCAGCCGCGGUAAUACGGAGGAUCCGAGCGUUAUCCGGAUUUAUUGGGUUUAAAGGGAGCGUAGAUGGAUAUUUAAGUCAGUUGUGAAAGUUUGCGGCUCAACCGUAAAAUUGCAGUUGAUACUGGAUAUCUUGAGUGCAGUUGAGGCAGGCGGAAUUCGUGGUGUAGCGGUGAAAUGCUUAGAUAUCACGAAGAACUCCGAUUGCGAAGGCAGCCUGCUAAGCUGCAACUGACAUUGAGGCUCGAAAGUGUGGGUAUCAAACAGGAUUAGAUACCCUGGUAGUCCACACGGUAAACGAUGAAUACUCGCUGUUUGCGAUAUACUGCAAGCGGCCAAGCGAAAGCGUUAAGUAUUCCACCUGGGGAGUACGCCGGCAACGGUGAAACUCAAAGGAAUUGACGGGGGCCCGCACAAGCGGAGGAACAUGUGGUUUAAUUCGAUGAUACGCGAGGAACCUUACCCGGGCUUAAAUUGCAGAUGAAUUACGGUGAAAGCCGUAAGCCGCAAGGCAUCUGUGAAGGUGCUGCAUGGUUGUCGUCAGCUCGUGCCGUGAGGUGUCGGCUUAAGUGCCAUAACGAGCGCAACCCUUGUUGUCAGUUACUAACAGGUUUUGCUGAGGACUCUGACAAGACUGCCAUCGUAAGAUGUGAGGAAGGUGGGGAUGACGUCAAAUCAGCACGGCCCUUACGUCCGGGGCUACACACGUGUUACAAUGGGGGGUACAGAGGGCCGCUACCACGCGAGUGGAUGCCAAUCCCAAAAACCUCUCUCAGUUCGGACUGGAGUCUGCAACCCGACUCCACGAAGCUGGAUUCGCUAGUAAUCGCGCAUCAGCCACAGCGCGGUGAAUACGUUCCC
rnacentral:rRNA from 1 species